AUUUAUAUAGUUUAAACAAAACAUUACAUUUUCAUUGUAAAAAUAAAAUUUAUUUUUUUUUUAUAAAUA
rnacentral:tRNA from 1 species